AUUCGCUGCUCCCUGCACACCUGGCCGGGCAGGCACAGCCCUCUGGACCCUCCCACAGGAAAAAGGGCUGAGCGGGAGCUGGGAAGGUGCUGGGAGGGCAGGGAGCUCCAUCUGCCUGCUCGGGGCAGAGCUGAGGGAGCUCCCCGACCUCCCAUGGCAGGGGUUUCUCCUCCCAGUUUCCCCCUGGCACGACUGGGAGGUGGCACCGUCAGAGUUCAGAUGUUUCUUGUCAUGAACAUGUUCCUGAAGGAAAAUCUCCCUGAUGAACAUCCCUGAUGAGCAUUUGCCUCUGGGACAGACUGGCAGCAAGAGGGAAGAGGGACACAGAGACAACAGCAGAGGAAAACAUCAGUAAAGGAUGCAGGGUACAUCCUCAGCCUGGGACACUCCUGCCACCUGCCUGGGGACAGCAGGGCCUUCCCGGGAUCCAUCAGCUCCUCACCCAGCUGCCAGAGGCUGAGCACACCCCUAUUUUCUGUGCAAAAGGCAAAACCUUUCCCUGCGAGAUCCCAGAGCUCUGCUGUUUACCGGCAACACAGGGCACGAGCCCGGCCCGAGCUCCAAAUAAACAGAGACCAAGGACUGGAAGUCAUUGGUGUCCAUGGCUCUCGCUCAGCACAAAAGGAAGGAAAUGGAAUAUAAACAGCCAGAGGAACAGCAGGGCAGGGGAGGCUCAGAGGUGGAAAACUGCUCUGUGAAAGCCACGCAGGAAUGUGCUGAGGUGAACGUUCCCCUCAAAGGGAAGAGGAGAUUUUGGUGGAAGUUUGUUGCCCUUUCAGGGGGUCUUGAGCCUCCACAGCAAUUUAUUUACCUGAACAUUUAACACUAGAGAGUCUUGGAGAGCCCUGCUGAGAAGAUCUGCGUUUCUCACUCCUUCUCUGGAGAUAUUCCAGAGAGAAUGGGCCACUGCAGCCCUUCCAGCCUCACCCAUCCUGUGAUUCCCUGCAGGUACCAACUCUGGGCUUUCCCAGGCUCACACCAUUCCCCAGGAAUGAGCAGCUCAUUCCUUUGAUGACUCUCUGGGCACAUUUCAAAGCCCGCCUGUUUGAGGGGCUUCUCAGGAGCUAACUUCACCCCUGCAGUGGAGAAGAGCUGGAAAGGAGCUUGUGCAGGUGUUGGCUGCAGCCACCACCUCCCUCACUGCUGGAGCUGUCAUCAGCAAAGCCUUGGCAUGGCCCAAAGCCUUGGCAAGGAAGACUCUUUCUUUCAUUUUUUGUUCAUAACUCCCCUAAACCAGACAGUGCAGCAGCAGUCCAACUAAAACAUAGCUUCAGGUGCUGCCAUUCCACGGUUUGAGGUGGGGCUGGCAAGGGCUGCCCUCCCCACCUGCUCCCUCGGCAGCGCCCAGCGAGACAGAAAAUAAAAGCCAGUCCUGAACACACAAAAUCCCUUCCCACACCAGCAUCAAAGGAGGGCAGGUCUCUAAAGUACAACAAGCAAAUAGGAGAGAAAAUCAACACCUCGGGGCAUGGAGGUGGAAGAAAAGACUUGAGAAGGGAGAGGGAGAGCAGAACCAACUCUGCCAAGGAUGAGUUCAUUACUGCAGCUCUCCUGCCUCUGCUGGGGCAGAGACACAGACCUGAACGUGGAGUUUCAGCUGAGACAAAGCUCCUCAAGCUACAAACAUCCCUGCUUAGGAAGGAGAUAGGCAGAGAGAAGCCCUGUGGUGUUCAAGGAGCAGAGACUGUAAUUCUUGGACUAAGGAAUGAUGAAAAUGGGACUGGUUUUACUCUCCUGGCUGUGGUUAGCAUCCUUUGGAAGGAGAGGUAAGAAUGAGUAUCUGCAGCUUUGAGUCACAAGUGCAGCCUGAGCAGUCACUGCUGCAGCAGCAUCAGUGACAUCAACAGGGGUUGACAUCCUCACUCCACUUUUUUGGUGGAAAAACCCCAACCCCAAACCUAAAUCAUGCCUGUUUCAAGCUGCUUUCUCCACUGCAGGCAGCAAACACUGACUCCUGGGAGCUCAGGAGGGAACUGCCAGAGUACAGCCCAGCCCUGCACAUCUCUUGCAGAAGCUGUUACUGCAGGAGUCUGGAAACUGCUGCUCCAGGGCUCCUGGAUACACUUUUUUUUUUUUUUUUAAGCUUAAAUGACUAGCAGGACAAUGUGUUUAACAUGUUUUAAAAUUAUCUAACGCCAGGAUAUCAACCUGUUGUUUCUACCUUAAGUCUCCAUAAAUGCAAAGUUUUGAUCAGGACUGACACAAGGUACAGAAAAAACUGAAAAAAAAAAAAAAAGAAAAAAGCAACCCCAAACCACUGAAUUCUCACAAACUUACACUUUUGCUGAUCUGGCAACCAUCUCUCCUAUCACUGCUUUAUACACUAGUACAAAGAGGCUCUGAGUAGAAAUUUAACUCUAAGGAAAUGCAGACACAUCAAUGACACCAGGGGCUUUUUAAAAAGACUUUUCAAUUUUUAUUCAACAAAAUUUUCAACUGAAAAUACUUUUUCACAACAGUGGAGCAAGCAGUAACUGCCAUGUGUGCAUUCACAGAACAUCACGAGCUAAAACAAAGAUGGACAACAUCACAAACAGGAUCAGACACUCUCCUCUGCUUCUGUCCAACCUCAUUCCGUGGCCAUGGAAGUGUUUCUGCACAGGUCUUUGCAAGCGAGCUCACAAAUCAAACCUCCAGAGCUUGUGGGUUCUGCAUAGAAAUCUCCAUCCUUGUGAGAGGGUAACAGGAUGUCCCAGCACAGUUUCCUCAGGAGUUCCACAGUUUCACAUGUGGUCACAAAGAUCUACACAGAGAGCACAGGGUACAGGUGUCAGUGCUAGAACAAAGAGUGAGCCUGCACUCACGGGGUUUGCUUCAAGUCUCUGCUACACAUCUGGAUGUGGACACUGAGUGGUUGUCUCUGUUCAACUCCCUCAGAGCUGAGCUGACUCUGGAGGGAGGCACCUGCACAGGCUGCAGGCAGCCCUGUGGCACCACCUGCAACACACAGGGGUAACACUCACAGUCUUUCACUUCUUGCCCUUUUAAUUGAUUUUCUUUCCCCC